GGAGAGAUGGCUCAGUGGUUAAGAGCUCUGACUGCUCUUCCAGAGGUCCUGAGUUCAAUUCCCAGCAACCACA
rnacentral:tRNA from 1 species